AUUUUGUUUUCCUCUUAAUCUUCUAAAGCAAAUCGUUUGGUCAGAAAUAAUGCAAAAAACCAUGUACAAUAUGAAAUACUCUUCCUAAAAAGCUAGCUAAUUCAGCUCCAAUUUUAAUACGAAUUUUCCCUUUAAAUAUCUAGCAUGAAGAUGAAGCCGAUUUCGAGGGAAUCUUUCAACGUGCUAGCCAGUAAAGAUUUGUGUUGGAUAUGUUCCUGUUUCUUCAGAAGCCAAGGCUUCCUAGUGGCCACGUUGCAUUUUGAGGUAUAUACUUUGAUGAUUGGAAUUUACCCUCUUCGAUAGCCAAGGUUCAAAUAACUCAAACAAGCUGCAUUGCUGACCUUUUUGUCUCUGGUAGAAGAACACGAAUGUUGGCUUUGUUUUAUUUUGAAAUCCCCGUUGGCAGGUGAGAAAGAUCAUUGUUAAGUUUUAUCUGACUCCAGGAUGUAUUUGAUAUGUUAUGCUGAUAUAGACAGAGCCACAGCAUCGGCAUUGCAAAUCCUACUAUCACAUUUGUUAGGAGAUGCUGGCAGGCUAAUAUUGUGGGUUUGGCAUUUCUUUCUUCAUCAUUCAUGGUAACCGACUGAAUACAAAUUUAAACAAUUCAAACAAACUGCAUUGCUGACUUUUUUGUCCCUGGAAGAAGAACACAAAUGUUGGCUUUGUUUCUUUUGAAAUCCCUGUUGGCAGUGGUCUCUCAAGAUGUUGUUGGUUCAAAAGUAUCUUCUGCAUUUAGUGGUGACAAUUAUUUUAUAAUAGAGAAAACACAGGGGGCAAAUUGAAAAGACUCAGGGUGAUAUCGUUGCAGACAAGGAUGUUAUCAUUCGUCGUUCAUGGUUGAAUGAUGUGGAACAUAUGUUACGCUGAUACAGACAGAGCCACAGCAUGGGCUUGCAAAUCUUGCUAUCAUAUUUGUUAGGAGAUGCUGGCAGCCUUAUAUUGUGGGUUUGAUAUGUAAUAUAUAAUUUGUUGUGCCUAAUAAAGCUAUGAA